CGCCCGGAUUCCUCCCCACCGCGCCGCCGCCCGGACUCCUCUCCACCGCGCCGCCGCCCGGACUUCUCCUCGAGCGCGCCGCCGCCCGGCCCUCUCCACAUCGCCGGCAGCGUCUUCGUUCUUCUCCGGCCACCUCCCUUCCUCCAACCUCCUGCAUCUCGCGCUGCCCCCAUGUCUCCUGGUUCCCACACCACAACGCCGUCUCCCGGUGGGACUCCGCCGCCGAAGCGCCCUGUCUGUUCACAUCCACCACUCCAGUUCGUUCAACGCCACCACCCGAACCAGUUCACCACCUCCCUCCAUCGCGCCUCCUCUGCUUGGUGUAGCCAGCGGCGCUCUGCCCCUCUUCUGCUUCCCCUGUCAAUCUCAGUAACUCCUCGCAGUAUUCUUCGACGCCUUUCGGCCUCCGUCACCGCCGCUCCCCGAACUGUUGUCCUCUGCACGAGCAACACAGUGGGUCGUUCGACUUCCUGACGCUGGCGCCGUGGGUCGCCACAAAAUCGAGUUCAGUGUGUAUUUUAAGAAGAAAAACCAACAAUGGCGGCUGCAUUGGAGCCGUAGGACUACUAUUGCUGAUAGGUUUGUGAACUAACAAACAUUAUUUUUAUGUUCCUGUGAUGUUUCAUAUUUUUGUGAACUGAUAGUUGAUGCUCUUUGUGGACUGAUAGCUGAUACUUUUUGUUAACCGAUAAACUGAAUAAAUGAGAUGGAUGUAUUAUCAGGCCGUGAAAAUGAUGUAAAAAAUAUGUGCAGUUCAGCGGAUGAGUAUUAUGUAUGCCCUUCUAAUCUGAAGGUAGUGGCACCACUAAGAAAAACAAAAUAAUCAGUUUUUUGUAGCCACGGAAUGGGCAUUUGACUCAGUAAUCUUCCAUUGCUAGAGCGCUCAAGCCGUUCACCCUUACCACCACAAGUCGUUCACCUCCGCCACACGAGGCCGUGCGACGAUGCAACUAUCACAAUGUUCACCUCUGCCACAGGAGGCCGAUGCAACGCUAAGUCGUUCGAUGCUGCAACUUAGGAGUCUGCCUCCUUUGACAGCUCCUGAUCUCCGGAACAGCCAUGGCUCCCUGCCGGCACAAAUCGCCAUCGACGACCUCCUUUGACAGCUUGCCUCUGAGGCCCACCAGACCCACACAGACGACGCUGGCCGUCCACAUCCACCAGCACAGGCCGUUCACACUCACCACUCAUGGCCGUUCUCGAAACCAUCCCAAAGUGUAGAUCGUACAUGAGGACAGGGCCGAGGGCCAUUCACUGUCACCACCCCGGGCCGUUCAACGAGACAGCAAGCACAUGUUUCCAGAAUCGAGCAGUAAAAGGGUACUGCCGGAGAUAAGUAGUAAGCGGCAAAAUGUUUUUUUUUUUUUUUUUUUUGCGUAUGAGCGGCAAAUGUUUUGAGGCAGCAGCAAGACGAGGCAUAAAAGCUGGCGAGCAGAUUGAGAAUUGGAAUUGGGGCUGCAACUAAAGUAGCAAAAAUAUGAUGUAUUUCAAAUAUCAUGAUGAAAACAAGGAACCUAACAACUCUUCAUCUCAAGUUCAAUUUCAAACUCCAAUUCAGUUCAAUUCUGGUUUUACUAAACUUGCUAUGGAGCUGCCGUAUUCCUAGUGCUGGAGAAUUGGCUCAACCCAACCCGCAACUCCGUUUGCUCACAUGUAAGUCCAUGGUUUUACAAAGAAGCAUGGUUUUACAAUCUUCCAAAGGUAUUUGGUGUCCGCGGCACUUGCAUGUUUGAUGGACUCCUUGCUCACCGUUCACCAAGUCCUUUCUCCUUUCGUUUGCUUUGCUUUUACCAGGGAUGCAAUGAAGGGAUGAAAAGAAGUUGGGGCACAAUUCUUGGAUAAUUGCACCAUGGAGCGUGUGGUCCUCAGUUAAAACAAACACAAAACAAUUUCUAGUGCAUUUCUAGUUGCUACUUGCUGCCACUGGUAAAUUGGACAAGUUCAGAAAGUGCCAUGGAGCAAGCUCAGUAGAGAUUGUGCCGUUGACCUUUCUUACUGAAGCUCCUUCCAGUUGUUACUUGGUGCCAUUGUUAAAUUGUGAAAGUUCAAAGACUGUCAUAGGGCAAAAUCAAAAGUUUGCUUUCAUGACAAGUGUGAUUUUUGGUCAUUAUUUUGUACAAUUCAUUUGGCACAAGCUUUGUGUGAUUUUAUGAAGCUUUAUA